AUGCAACACCCUCUGGCUAAAAAAUAUACCUACAUAGAAUUUCCUGAAUAUUUUACAUGGCACUCCAACUCAAAUGGCAAAUACUGGGAUUAUCGUCGUGGUUCUAGAAGAAUUGGCAGAAUUGCUUAUGUCAACCCUUCCCAAGGGGACCUUCACUAUCUACGUUUGUUGCUCAACAUUGUCAAAGGUCGAACCUCCUUCGCUCAAAUCAGAACUAUAAAUGUCCAUGAAUAUCCUACAUUUCAUGGUGCAUGUGAGGCUUUAGGUCUCCUUGGUGAUGAUGAAGAAUGGUCCAAUGCUUUAAAAGAUGCCGCUCAAUGGGCCAUGCCUUACCAGUUACGCCAACUAUUUGUCACAGUUUUGCUCUUUUGUGAGGUAACAAAUCCUAGAAAACUUUUUGAUAACCAUGCGCAAAAAAUGUCUAAAGAUGCAACCCAUCAAUUGAGUCAGAACCGUGGUCAAGCUAGCAAUCCCUUAGCCGAUAUAUAUAUUUCAUCUUAUUUUUUGAAUGAAUUGGAUAAAUUGCUAAGAGAUGCAGGAUAUUGUUUAUCCCAUUUUAAUUUGCCGCUACCUGAUGACACUGCUAAUAUUUCUGGACAAAAUAGGCUACUACUAGAUGAGCUCAAUUAUGAUGUGCCUGCUAUGACUGCCACUUUAAAUGACAACCUUUCAAUGUUGAACAACAACCAGAAAGAUGUUUUUGAUGCUAUUUACAAUUCUUUGAUGAAUGGUGAAGGUAAAACAUUUUUUGUUUAUGGAUAUGGAGGAACUGGAAAAACUUUCUUAUGGACUACUUUGCUUAAUUCUGUAAGAAGAAAAGGGAAAAUUGCAUUAGCAGUUGCAUCAUCGGGAAUUGCCUCCCUACUGCUACCAGGGGGUCGAGCCCCCCAUUCCCGUUUUAAAAUUCCUUUAGACAUUUCUCAGAGUUCCAUGUGUAGUAUAAAGAAAAAUGCACACUUAGCAGAACUUAUCUAA
rnacentral:rRNA from 1 species